rnacentral:rRNA from 1 species
GACGAAGGUGGCUAGCGCUGUUCGGGGUCACUGGGCUUAAAGAGUAUGUAGGCGGAAAAGUAAGCGUUUUGUGAAAUCCCUCAGCUUAACUGAGGAAUUGCUUGGCGAACGGCUUUUCUUGAGGCAAGUAGGGGUGCAUGGAACUCUUGGUGGAGCGGUGGAAUGCGUAGAUAUCAAGAGGAACGCCGGUGGUGAAGACGGUGCACUGGGCGUGUCCUGACGCUCAGAUGCGAAAGCGUGGGCAGCAAACAGG